CUUUAAAGUCGAAAUAGUCUUAAAAGAACUAAGCAUUGUUGAGAACAUUUGAAGAUUUCAAGAGGAUUUGCCCAUUUUGAGUUUCAGAUCUUCAAGUGUUCCUUGAUCAGUUGAGUCUUUGUUUUGAUCUUGUACUGGUUCGUAUUGUAUAUGCUCAUAUAAUAAGUUUUAUCAUAUUAGGCUCUGUUUGAUGAAGACUUUUGGGUAUCCUCUUUUUUUUUUUUUUUUCAGGGGUCAGGCAGGUCCCACAGGCACCACAUCAGCACAAAAGCCGUUCUUUUGCAACAAGCCUCCCACAUCAUUAUAUAAAUUGAAGAACCACUACUAGUUUUCACUUUAUGCAAUUUUUACCUUUAAAAGAAAGCUUUCUGUAAUUUUUUGUGAGGCUUCAUGGAAAAUGGCAUGCUCAAAUUUGAUGUGCACCUGCAGGGCCUGGCUGUCCCCCAACAAAAGGAUAUCCCAGAAAUUUCACCAACUGGAGCGUAGGGCUUCAGCAGUUUGGGUUUUCUUAGAGGGUUCUAAUGUGUGCUGUCAUUGGCGUGUCAAUCUUGGAAAAUGAAACAUCAUUUGGUAACAGCAGCACAUGCAGGAAUAGCUGGUAGAAGGCUAUGAUGAUGAUAAAGCACGCAGGGAUACCAAAAAUGGGGUAUCUACAAAAUCGGCAUGUAUGUUUGUAUCACAAUCACUCCUGCAUCGUUAAUUCUUACUGAAGAUGACCCCAGUAAGUUCUCCUAGUUCAUCCAUUGGUUUGCUAGUCCCACACCCACCUUUAAAUCUGACACAUGUACCAAACUAGCAAGUCUGUGGAGCAUCUGAGUGGUGCAUAAGGUAUCUCCCACAUGGUGAUCAUGGGCAACCUGAUCUCUCUGGCUUCGGACCAUGAUUUUUCAGUUCUUCGGUCCUCCACGGAGCUCACAAUGGGUGGCGUUUUAACCUAGAGGCUGGAUAUAUCAGACUCAGUGAUUAUUAUUGGCAAAGGCCGUAGAUUUAUCUUGGAGGCGGUGGAUCCCAAAUCCGUGUACUUGUCCUUGUAGACAAUGUGCGUAUAGUAAUGUCUGCAUUCUCAGCUCCAGGCAAAGCUGAUUCUCAGAUUAGAGCCAUUGUGCUUGCCAUUAGGGAGGCAGUUCAAAUCAUUCACAACCAGUUUGGCCAGCUUUCCAUCGUCGUGGAGUUGCCUGACAGAUCUGUUUGGGUUAUCCUUGGAGUCUGGAUUGUAUUUUCAAAGAGUUAGAUCUAUGGGUGGGGCGUUAAAACAUUUCGUCUACUCCUUCAACCGAUGAUCCUAAUCUGAUGGUGCUUGAUUUAGCAAUUACAUUCAUCUUCCUUGGUUCUUAUAAAUUUUGUUAAUCUUUAGAAACAAGAUAUCUAAAUGGGUCACAUGUGUAUGUUAAAUGUGGACCUUUAGCAAGUUAUCUUAAACCAUUAUUCUUUCAUGUAGGGGUGACUGACCUGAUGAGUGGACUGACCUGAAUUUUUUUUUUUUCUUAUCGUUAUCUUUCGGAAGGGGGGCACCUUGUGCCUUUGCUCAGAUGUCUCACACAUUUGCCAGGCUAGUAUCAUGGAGCUUCUCUUGCCCGCAUCCUAGACAAUGAACUUAGUAGCACUGGUACCAAAUUUCAUCUCACGUCACUUCCAUCAAGUUUGGAAUGAAUUCUUGCUUCUGUUUGAAGUGGAGUGGGUGCCACCGGGCUCACUGUAGAUGUGUUUUUGCUCUCAUGGCACGGAGGAGGGAGUGGAACAAGGGGGGUAAAAAAUCUGGAGAUUGGCCAUGCUUGCAGGAUUAUGGGGCUUUUGGAGAGAGGAACAAUAGUUGUUUUACAAAUCGUAAAGGGAUACUAGUGGAUGUGUUUACGAGGGCUAAAGGGCAGGUUGAGGAAUGGGCUGUGGCUCUAAAUCUCUAUAGCUAAUGUCCUAUUUCUUGCAGUUGUUGUAAUCUAUUGUUUUGUUUUUGUUUUCCUUGGCUUUGGCCCUUUUAAUGAAAAACAAAUAAAUUUGAACGGUAACAAUAAUUAUU